GACAAGUUCUUGGAAAAAAAGUUAUCUCAAAGAAGAGAUGAUAGCCAUGAUUCUCAGCUGUAAUAAUAUCAUUAUUGAGGAUAUCAUUAACUUUCGAUGCGUGUGCAAGCAAUUUCGUUAUGCAGCCAAUUAUAACAAGUUCUUGGAAAAAAAGUUAUGUCAGAGGUAAUUCUUUUGUCCAUCGCUAGUUGGCCCGCCGGGGAAAAUUUUUUCUAUAUCUAAAAAUAUAGAAAAACACAUGCUUAGUGAAGAAACAGCAAAUGUACUCCAGCAAAUAUACUUGGACAUUUUAAUAUCAUCAUUAAAAAUGUAACACUUUAGAGUUA